rnacentral:rRNA from 1 species
UACGUAGGGUGCGAGCGUUAUUCGGAUUCACUGGGCGUAAAGGGUGCGCAGGUGGCCAGGUGUGUUAGGCGUGAAAGCCCGGGGCUUAACCCCGGAAUUGCACCUAAAACUACUUGGCUAGAGCAUUGGAGAGGGGAGCAGAAUUCAUGGUGUAGCAGUGAAAUGCGUAGAUAUCAUGAGGAAUACCAGAGGCGAAGGCGGCUCCCUGGACAAUUGCUGACACUCAGGCACGAAAGCGUGGGGAGCAAAAGGG